UGUUGUACCACUUUUGCCCCUGUCAGAGGAUAUAGUUGCUGAAACUCCAAAACGUGGUAUUAUUUCUUGUAGUAAUAUCUUAGUUACCUCCUGAGCCUUGGCUGUUCUGGUUGGAAAUGCUUCUGGCCACCCUGAAAAGUACCAGUUUAUGCCAGGAGACGCUCCCGCGAGCUUAGC